rnacentral:rRNA from 3 species
ACCCGCUGAAUUUAAGCAUAUAAUUAAGCGGAGGAAAAGAAACCAACUCGGAUUCCCCUA